GACGAACGCUGGCGGCGUGCUUAACACACGCAAGUCGAGCGGUAAGGCCCUUUUUGGGGGUACGACGAGCGGCGAACGGGUGAGUAACACGCGGGUGACCUGCCCUCAGCUCUGGGAUAAGCCUGGGAAACUGGGUCUAAUACUGGAUAUGACCUUUCCUCGCAUGGGGGUUGGGUGGAAAGUUUUUCGGCGUGGGGAGUGGGCCCGCGGCCUAUCAGCUUGUUGGUGGGGUGAUGGCCUACCAAGGCGACGACGGGUAGCCGGCCU
rnacentral:rRNA from 1 species